rnacentral:rRNA from 1 species
GAGCUUGUAGGCGGUUUGUCGCGUCUGCUGUGAAAGCCCGGGGCUCAACUCCGGGUGUGCAGUGGGUACGGGCAGACUAGAGUGCAGUAGGGGAGACUGGAAUUCCUGGUGUAGCGGUGAAAUGCGCAGAUAUCAGGAGGAACACCGAUGGCGAAGGCAGGUCUCUGGGCUGUUUCUGACGCUGAGAAGCGAAAGCAUGGGUAGCGAACAGGAUUAGAUACCCUGGUUAGUCCAAUGCCGUUAAACGUUGGGCACUAGGUGUGGGGAGCGUUCCUCGUUUUCCGCGCCGUAGCUAACGCAUUAAGUGCCCCGCCUGGGGAGUACGGCCGCAAGGCUAAAACUCAAAGGAAUUGACGGGGGCCCGCACAAGCGGCGGAGCAUGUGGAUUAAUUCGAUGCAACGCGAAGAACCUUACCUGGGCUUGACAUA